ACAAACACUGCAGCAGCACAAAGGCAGGGAUGGGAAGGAUGCAGACUUGAUUUACCACUCUUACUAAUCUUCCAAGUCAAUGAUUCUAAAGAAGCACAACACGUCGACUUUGGGUCCCACGCAUGAAGAAUACAAACAGAAGAUGUUUCAAAACAGCUUAAAUGUUCAGCAACCUGACAUAAAGAAAUUCCCCUAAAGCACAGAUGGUGUGCUGCUGUGGAAAGCUUACUCAUGUUCAUCACUGGAUAUUCUGCUGUCCCAAGGUAAAGAUCUCUACCACAUCGAAAAGGAGUUCUUCAGACUAGCUUUUUCCUGACUGUUUACUAUCUGGGACAUCUAUGAUAUAGAUUUAAACCUGGUUCUCACUUUUCUAACCAAAACUGGAGUAUGUUUGACUCUUAGCUGAAAUACUAAGGGCACAAUGGCAUAGGCUGUUUUCAUGUCAGUUCACCUUGAGCAUUCAUUCUGUCCUUUAAAAACCUUUCCAAAGCGUUUGAUAAAUCACUUUGAAAAGACCUUUUUUUGAGUUGUUCUUUUCAUAAGAAUCCAAAAUAUUGAAAAUUAUGUCAGGCACUUGUAGUUUCUGUAACAAAUAAAGAUAUUGAAUAUUUACUGUAGUUAAAAGGUUGAUACUCAUGCAAAAUCUGUA